UUUGAGCUCGAACGAUCGUUGUUGAAGCAAUCUAACGAAACACUACGUUUCUUUUGCAGCUUUAGGGAAAGUCCCCGGACUCUUGCGUCUUGGUUUCUUUUGAAACCAGGACAAGCGGAAACGCGCUGACCUAAAGAACCAGCGGUUUCAAUGGAAUGUUUGUCCCGUGGUAGGCGCUGUCUUGAUUUUUCUUGUAACCUUUUCUAUGUGCUUUUCGCUUCCGGAACGGAGUAGACAAAGAUAUAAGUCUAUGAAAUGUGCAUAGGAAAGUGUUUGAGGAAGAGCAAAACGGAUGCUUUGCGGGACUUACGGUUUCAUUGAACUGUGUUUUUUCGUCGUAGGCGAUAGUUAUACGAUCACAUCCACCAGUAGAUGUAACUCAAUGGGGCUUAGUCAUGGGCUCAG
rnacentral:RNase_MRP_RNA from 2 species